CCUACGGGAGGCAGCAGUAAGGAAUAUUGGACAAUGGACGCAAGUCUGAUCCAGCCAUGCCGCGUGAAGGAUUAAGGCCCUCUGGGUUGUAAACUUCUUUUAUAGGGGACGAAAAAAGGGCUUUCUAGCUCGACUGACGGUACCCUAUGAAUAAGCACCGGCUAACUCCGUGCCAGCAGCCGCGGUAAUACGGAGGGUGCAAGCGUUAUCCGGAUUCACUGGGUUUAAAGGGUGCGUAGGCGGGCAUUUAAGUCAGUGGUGAAGUCUUCGAGCUCAACUCGGAAACUGCCAUUGAUACUAUUUGUCUUGAAUAUUGUGGAGGUGAGCGGAAUAUGUCAUGUAGCGGUGAAAUGCUUAGAUAUGACAUAGAACACCGAUUGCGAAGGCAGCUCGCUACACAAAUAUUGACGCUGAGGCACGAAAGCGUGGGGAUCAAACAGGAUUAGAUACCCUGGUAGUCCACGCCCUAAACCUAUGGAUACUCGACAUUUGCGAAUACACAGUAAGUAGUCUGAGCGAAGACAUUAAGUAUCCACCGUACGGAAGUACGACCGCGAGUAGUAACGUACAAUAGAAGUUAGUACGGCGUAGAGACGUUAGCCGACGGACGACGACGAGGGGAGGUAGG
rnacentral:rRNA from 1 species